AAGACUUUAAGUUAAUAUAAAACUUAUAACCUUCAAAGUUAAAAAUAUUCAUUUGGAGUAAGUCUUA